UACGGAGGGUGCGAGCGUUGUCCGGAAUCACUGGGCGUAAAGGGCGCGUAGGUGGCGAGGCAAGCGUGCGGUGAAAGCUCGGGGCUCAACCCCGAGUCGGCCGUGCGAACUGCUUUGCUUGAGCACUGUAGAGGCAGAUGGAAUUCCGGGUGUAGCGGUGGAAUGCGUAGAGAUCCGGAAGAACACCGGUGGCGAAGGCGGUCUGCUGGGCAGUUGCUGACACUGAGGCGCGACAGCGUGGGGAGCAAACAGG
rnacentral:rRNA from 1 species